rnacentral:rRNA from 1 species
UACAGAGGGGGCAAGCGUUGUUCGGAAUUACUGGGCGUAAAGCGAGUGUAGGCGGUCUACUAAGUCGGGUGUGAAAGCCCUGGGCUCAACCCAGGAAGUGCACUCGAAACUGGUGGGCUAGAGUAUCGGAGAGGUUGGUGGAAUUCUCGGUGUAGAGGUGAAAUUCGUAGAUAUCGAGAGGAACACCGGUGGCGAAGGCGGCCAACUGGACGAAUACUGACGCUGAGACUCGAAAGCGUGGGGAGCAAACAGG